rnacentral:tRNA from 1 species
GGUCCCAUGGUGUAUCGGUUAUCACUCUGGACUUUUAAUCCAGCAAACCGAGUUCGAAUCUCGGUGGGCCUC